rnacentral:misc_RNA from 1 species
GAAAUGCGAUAAGUAAUGUGAAUUGCAGAAUUCAGUGAAUCAUCGAAUCUUUGAACGCACAUUGCGCCCUUUGGCAUUCCGAGGGGCAUGCCCGUUCGAGCGUCAUUAAAACCCCUCAAGCGCAUGCUUGGUAUUGGGCGACGGGUUGAUUCCCGCGCCUCGAUGUCCCCCCGGCUGGUACGUCCUUGAUCUCAGCGUAUGAAUUCAAAGUCCGCUGAUCCGACAGGCGUGUUCAUGCCGUUAAACAUUUUUAUCUAAGGUUGACCUCGGAUCGGGUAGGAAUACCCGCUGAACUUAA